AUGCUUAAUUCAGCAGCACAUACACUAAAAUGGAAAUAAAACAGAAGAUUGGUAUGGCUUCUAUGCAAGGAUGUCACAAAAUUCAUGAAGUGUUCUAUAUUUGC
rnacentral:snRNA from 1 species